rnacentral:rRNA from 1 species
UUGAACGCUGGCGGCAUGCCUUACACAUGCAAGUCGAACGGCAUCGCGGGAAAGCUUGCUUUCCUGGCGGCGAGUGGCGAACGGGUGAGUAACACAUCGGAACGUACCGGCUAGUGGGGGAUAACCCGUCGAAAGACGGGCUAAUACCGCAUACGCUCUUCGGAGGAAAGCAGGGGACCUUUGGGCCUUGCGCUAGCCGAGCGGCCGAUGUCCGAUUAGCUAGUUGGUGGGGUAAAGGCCUACCAAGGCGACGAUCGGUAGCGGGUCUGAGAGGACGAUCCGCCACACUGGGACUGAGACACGGCCCAGACUCCUACGGGAGGCAGCAGUGGGGAAUCUUGGACAAAGGGGGCAACCCUGAUCCAGCAAUGCCGCGUGGGUGAAGAAGGCCUUCGGGUUGUAAAGCCCUUUCGGCAGGGAAGAAAUCGGCGGGGCGAAUAACCCUGCUGGAUGACGGUACCUGCAGAAGAAGCACCGGCUAACUACGUG